GCAGCCGCCGCGGUAAAACGAGGGGGGCAAGCGUUGUUCGGAUUUAUUGGGCGUAAAGGGUGCGUAGGCGGUUUGGCAAGUCUCGUGUGAAAUCUUCAGGCUCAACUUGAAGUCUGCAUGGGAAACUGCGGGGCUGGAGUAUGGGAGAGGUGAGUGGAAUUCCUGGUGUAGCGGUGAAAUGCGUAGAUAUCAGGAGGAACACCUGUGGCGAAAGCGGCUCACUGGACCAUAACUGACGCUGAGGCACGAAAGCUAGGGGAGCAAACAGGAUUAGAUACCCCCGUAGUCCCUGUCUCUUAUAC
rnacentral:rRNA from 1 species